UGGGGAAUAUUGGACAAUGGGGGAAACCCUGAUCCAGCCAUGCCGCGUGCGUGAAGAAGGCCUCAGGGUUGUAAAGCGCUUUCGGCGGGGAAGAUGAUGACGGUACCCGCAGAAGAAGCCCCGGCUAACUCCGUGCCAGCAGCCGCGGUGAUACGGAGGGGGCAAGCGUUGUUCGGAAUUACUGGGCGUAAAGGGCGCGUAGGCGGGCGACUAAGUCAGAGGUGAAAGGCCUGGGCUCAACCUGGGAACUGCCUUUGAAACUAGUUGUCUAGAGUCCGGAAGAGGAUGGCGGAAUUCCCAGUGUAGAGGUGAAAUUCGUAGAUAUUGGGAAGAACACCAGUGGCGAAGGCGGCCAUCUGGUCCGGUACUGACGCCGAGGCGCGAAAGCGUGGGGAGCAAACAGGAUUAGAUACCCUGGUAGUCCACGCCGUAAACGAUGUGUGCUAGCCGUUGGGAAACCUAGUUUCUCGGUGGCGCAGCUAACGCGAUAAGCACACCGCCUGGGGAGUACGGCCGCAAGGUUA
rnacentral:rRNA from 1 species